UGAGGAAUAUUGGUCAAUGGACGAGAGUCUGAACCAGCCAAGUAGCGUGAAGGAUGACUGCCCCUAUGGGUUGUAAACUUCUUUUAUAUGGGAAUAAAACGUUCCACGUGUGGAAUUUUGUAUGUACCAUAUGAAUAAGGAUCGGCUAACUCCGUGCCAGCAGCCGCGGUAAUACGGAGGAUCCGAGCGUUAUCCGGAUUUAUUGGGUUUAAAGGGAGCGUAGGUGGAUUGUUAAGUCAGUUGUGAAAGUUUGCGGCUCAACCGUAAAAUUGCAGUUGAAACUGGCAGUCUUGAGUACAGUAGAGGUGGGCGGAAUUCGUGGUGUAGCGGUGAAAUGCUUAGAUAUCACGAAGAACUCCGAUUGCGAAGGCAGCUCACUGGACUGCAACUGACACUGAGGCUCGAAAGUGUGGGUAUCAAACA
rnacentral:rRNA from 1 species